GUGGGGAAUUUUGGACAAUGGGCGAAAGCCUGAUCCAGCCAUGCCGCGUGCAGGAUGAAGGCCUUCGGGUUGUAAACUGCUUUUGUACGGAACGAAAAGACUCUGGUUAAUACCUGGGGUCCAUGACGGUACCGUAAGAAUAAGCACCGGCUAACUACGUGCCAGCAGCCGCGGUAAUACGUAGGGUGCAAGCGUUAAUCGGAAUUACUGGGCGUAAAGCGUGCGAAGGCGGUUAUAUAAGACAGAUGUGAAAUCCCCGGGCUCAACCGGGGAACUGCAUUUGUGACUGUAUAGCUAGAGUACGGCAGAGGGGGAUGGAAUUCCGCGUGUAGCAGUGAAAUGCGUAGAUAUGCGGAGGAACACCGAUGGCGAAGGCAAUCCCCUGGGCCUGUACUGACGCUCAUGCACGAAAGCGUGGGGAGCAAACAGGAUUAGAUACCCGGGUAGUCC
rnacentral:rRNA from 1 species